GAUGAAGAACGUAGCGAAAUGCGAUACGUAAUGUGAAUUGCAGAAUUCAGUGAAUCAUCGAGUCUUUGAACGCACAUUGCGCCCCCUGGUAUUCCGGGGGGCAUGCCUGUCCGAGCGUCAUUGCUGCCCUCAAGCCCGGCUUGUGUGUUGGGUCUCGUCCCCCUUCCCGGGGGGGCGGGCCCGAAAGGCAGCGGCGGCACCGCGUCCGGUCCUCGAGCGUAUGGGGCUUUGUCACCCGCUCUGUAGGCCCGGCCGGCGCUUGCCGAUCAACCAAAACUUUUUUACAGGUUGACCUCGGAUCAGGUAGGGAUACCCGCUGAACUUAAGCAUAUCAAUAAGCGGAGGA
rnacentral:misc_RNA from 1 species